rnacentral:rRNA from 1 species
GGAUGAACGCUAGCGGCAGGCUUAAUACAUGCAAGUCGAGGGGCAGCAUGAGUGUAGCAAUACAUUUGAUGGCGACCGGCAAACGGGUGCGGAACACGUACAGAACCUUCCUUCGAGCGGGGAAUAGCCCAGAGAAAUUUGGAUUAAUACCCCAUAGUAAAUUGAAAAGGCAUCUUUUUAAUUUUAAAGAUUUAUCACUUGAAGAUGGCUGUGCGGCUGAUUAGGUAGUUGGCGGGGUAACGGCCCACCAAGCCUACGAUCAGUAACUGGUGUGAGAGCACGACCAGUCACACGGGCACUGAGACACGGGCCCGACUCCUACGGGAGGCAGCAGUAAGGAAUAUUGGUCAAUGGACGAAAGUCUGAACCAGCCAUGCCGCGUGGAGGAUGAAGGUCCUCUGGAUUGUAAACUUCUUUUAUCUGGGACGAAAAAGGGGCUUUCUAGCUCAACUGACGGUACCAGAUGAAUAAGCACCGGCUAACUCCGUGCCAGCAGCCGCGGUAAUACGGAGGGUGCAAGCGUUAUCCGGAUUCACUGGGUUUAAAGGGAGCGUAGGUGGGUUGGUAAGUCAGUGGUGAAAUCUCUGAGCUUAACUCGGAAACUGCCAUUGAUACUAUCAAUCUUGAAUACCGUGGAGGUCAGCGGAAUAUGUCAUGUAGCGGUGAAAUGCUUAGAUAUGACAUAGAACACCAAUUGCGAAGGCAGCUGGCUACACGAAUAUUGACACUCAGGCUCGAAAGCGUGGGGAUCAAACAGGAUUAGAUACCCUGGUAGUCCACGCCCUAAACUAUGGAUACUCGACAUACGCGAUACACUGUGUGUGUCUGAGCGAAAG